UACGUAGGGUGCAAGCGUUGUCCGGAAUCAUUGGGCGUAAAGAGCGUGUGAGGCGGCUUGGCAAGUCUGGUGUGAAAUCUUGCGGCUCAACCGCAAGCGGUCACUGGAAACUGCCUCGCUAGAGUCCGGAAGAGGAGAGCGGAAUUCCUGGUGUAGCGGUGGAAUGCGCAGAUAUCAGGAAGAACACCCGUGGCGAAGGCGGCUCUCUGGGACGGUACUGACGCUGAGACGGCGAAAGCAUGGGGAGCGAACAGG
rnacentral:rRNA from 1 species